rnacentral:rRNA from 1 species
UUGCGCCUCUCGGUAUUCCGGGAGGCACGCCUGUUCGAGCGCCAUUACACACCCCAAGCCUGGCUUGAUGUUGGACGAGGCGGGAGACCGCCCGUCUGGAACGCGUGGGCGCCGGCCGCCGGACCGCGAGCGUAGCAAGACGCAAGUCAAGUCGCUGUGCGGGACUCGUGCGGCGGGUCGUCGGAAGUCUCUGUGUGUCUUGUCGACACGGAGGGACAACAUACCCAAAAGUUUGGCCUCGGAUCAGGCGGGGAUACCCGCUGAACUUAAGCAUAUCAAUAAGCGGAGGAAAAGAAACCAACAGGGAUUGCCCCAGUAACGGCGAGUGAAGCGGCAACAGCUCAAAUUUGAAAUCUGGCGUCUCGGGCGCCCGAGUUGUAAUUUGCAGAGGAAGCCUCGGGUCGAGGGUCGGUCCAAGUUCCUUGGAACAGGAUACCGAAGAGGGUGAGAGUCCCGUCUCCGGCCGACGCCGACGCCCGUGUGAGGCUCCUUCGACGAGUCGAGUUGUUUGGGAAUGCAGCUCUAAAUGGGUGGUAAAUUCCAUCUAAAGCUAAAUACCGGCCAGAGACCGAUAGCGAACAAGUAGAGUGAUCGAAAGAUGAAAAGCACUUUGAAAAGAGAGUCAAACAGUACGUGAAAUUGUUGAAAGGGAAGCGUAUACGGCCAGACUUGACCGCGGGGGCUCAUCCCGUCUUCUGGCGGGUGCACUCCCUCGCGGGCAGGCCAGCAUCGGUUCGUGGGGUCGGACAAAGGCGUCGGGAACGUGGCUCUCUUCGGGGAGUGUUAUAGCCCGGCGUGCAAUGCGGCCACCGCGGACCGAGGACCGCGCUUCGGCAAGGAUGCUGGCGUAAUGGCCUUAUACGGCCCGUCUGAAACACGGACCAAGGAGUCUAACAUCUAUGCGAGUGUUUGGGUGUCAAGCCCGGGCGCGCAAUGAAAGUGAACGGAGGUGGGAGCCUCGGCGCACCAUCGACCGAUCCUGAUGUCUUCGGAAGGAUUUGAGUAAGAGCAUAGCUGUUGGGACCCGAAAGAUGGUGAACUAUGCGUGAAUAGGGUGAAGCCAGAGGAAACUCUGGUGGAGGCUCGCAGCGGUUCUGACGUGCAAAUCGAUCGUCAAAUUUGCGUAUAGGGGCGAAAGACUAAUCGAACCAUCUAGUAGCUGGUUCCUGCCGAAGUUUCCCUCAGGAUAGCAGUAACGUGAUCAGUUUUAUGAGGUAAAGCGAACGAUUAGGGACCUAGGGGCUGAAACAGCCUUUAUCCAUUCUCGAACUUUAAAUAUGUAAGAAGUCCUUGUUACUUUGUUGAACGUGGACACUCGAAUGCAACGUUACUAGUGGGCCAUUUUUGGUAAGCAGAACUGGCGAUGCGGGAUGAACCGAACGCGGGGUUAAGGUGCCGGAAUGCACGCUCAUCAGACACCACAAAAGGUGUUGGUUCAUCCAGACAGCAGGACGGUGGCCAUGGAAGUCGGAAUCCGCUAAGGAGUGUGUAACAACUCACCUGCCGAAUGAACCAGCCCUGAAAAUGGAUGGCGCUCAAGCGUGCUACCCAUACCCCGCCGUCUCCUCAGGCGGUAUGACGAGACGAGUAGGCAGGCGUGGGGGCCCGUGACGAAGC